AGGGCACCACCAGGAGUGGAGCCUGCGGCUUAAUUUGACUCAACACGGGAAAACUUACCCGGCCCGGACACUGGCAGGACUGACGGAUUGAGAGCUCUUUCUUGAUUCAGUGGGUGGUGGUGCAUGGCCGUUCUUAGUGGGUGGAGCGAUUUGUCUGGUUAAUUCCGAUAACGAACGAGACUCUAGCCUACUAAAUAGGCCACCGGCUUACUGACGUCGGUGGGACUUCUUAGAGGGACAGGCGGCGAUUCAGCCGCACGAAACAGAGCAAUAACAGGUCUGUGAUGCCCUUAGAUGUCCGGGGCCGCACGCGCGCUACACUGAAGUGAUCAGCGUGCAUUACAAACCUGCUCCGUCAGGAGUGGGGAACCCAAUGAACCUUCUUCGUGAUUGGGAUAGGGGAUUGUAAUUAUUCCCCUUGAGCGAGGAAUUCCCAGUAAGCGCGAGUCAUAAGCUCGCGUUGAUUACGUCCCUGCCCUUUGUACACACCGCCCGUCGCUACUACCGAUUGAAUGAUUU
rnacentral:rRNA from 1 species